rnacentral:lncRNA from 1 species
GUGGUAUACGUUUUUCUGUUGUGCAAAUUUAAUUGGGGUAUACGUAUUUUUUUGCUAAAACAUCAACUAAUCACGUCAACAGUUGAGAUAUACUUGAUACUUCCCUUGACGUAUAUAAGACUGACCGCGAACUUGAGGCAUAUGUGAAACUUUUACUGAUACUUUGUCAAGUUCUGACUUUCUGUUUUAAGACUUAGUUUUUUUUUUUUUUUUUUUUUUUGUCAUCAGCAUAAACAGACUCAUACAGACUCUGUGAACCAAACUGGGAGAUGUCGAUCCAUGUGAACGACGAAAGACGGCUGCUUCCUGACACUACGUGCUAGGCUAUCCGCCUUUGUAUUUUGCGUUCUUGGCACAUGGACAAUCUCUGAGCGGGAAAAACUCUCUUUCAGGACUUUAAUAUCAUCUAAAUAACUUGCAAAAGCUGGCCAUUCUUCUGGUUCCGAAACCAUCUUCACCAAUUGAGAACAAUCCGUUGCAAAUGUAACCUGAAAUUGUCGUAAGUUCCUCAUACACUCCAUUGCCCAAAGUAAUGCUUCCAUCUCCGCAUGUAGAGGAGAUAGACUAGCCCUAACAUUCCUUGCUCCCAUCAAACCCUCAAAACCUUCUAAAGUACUAAACCACCCUUGACCAGAGAAACCGCUAUCCUCCUUCCAGGACCCAUCUGUGAAACACCAUCUUCCUUGGUUUAACGGUGCUGCCGAACCCUCUACAUGUGGCCCUGCUCUCUGUUCCUUCACUAUCUGCGCCUCAG